rnacentral:rRNA from 1 species
UAGGGAAUCUUCCACAAUGGACGCAAGUCUGAUGGAGCAACGCCGCGUGAGUGAAGAAGGUUUUCGGACCGUAAAGCUCUGUUGUUGGUGAAGAAGGAUAGAGGUAGUAACUGGCCUUUAUUUGACGGUAAUCAACCAGAAAGUCACGGCUAACUACGUGCCAGCAGCCGCGGUAAUACGUAGGUGGCAAGCGUUGUCCGGAUUUAUUGGGCGUAAAGCGAGCGCAGGCGGAAGAAUAAGUCUGAUGUGAAAGCCCUCGGCUUAACCGAGGAAUUGCAUCGGAAACUGUUUUUCUUGAGUGCAGAAGAGGAGAGUAGAACUCCAUGUGUAGCGGUGGAAUGCGUAGAUAUAUGGAAGAAUACCAGUGGCGAAGGCGGCUCUCUGGUCUGCAAACUGACGCUGAGGCUCGAAAAGCAUGGGUAGCGAACAGGAUUAGAUACCCUGGUAGUCCAUGCCGUAAAACGAUGAGUGCUAAGUGUUGGGAGGCUUCCGCCUCUCAGUGCUGCAGCUAACGCAUUAAGCACUCCGCCUGGGGGAGUACGACCGCAAGGUUG